UACAGAGGGUGCAAGCGUUAAUCGGAGUUACUGGGCGUAAAGGGCGCGUAGGCGGGUUAUUAAGUGAGAUGUGAAAUCCCUGGGCUUAACCUAGGAACUGCAUCUCAUACUGAAGACCUAGAGUAUUGUAGAGGGUAGUGGAAUUUCCGGUGUAGCGGUGAAAUGCGUAGAGAUCGGAAGGAACACCAGUGGCGAAGGCGGCUACCUGGACAAAUACUGACGCUGAGGCGCGAAAGCGUGGGGAGCAAACAGG
rnacentral:rRNA from 1 species